GUUGUAUUCCUUAGAAAUCAACCACAGCCUAAUUUCUUAUUUUAGAGAUGAUGUCCCAGCCAGUGUCCUUCCACUGUGUCGCACUCCAUCUUGUCCAGUUUCUGAGUAGAGCCAGGACCUGUGCCCAGAAUUAGUGGCUCUCAUCUCUUUCAGCUUUUUUGUUUCCCUAAUUUCUGUGAUUCUCUGAUGAAAUCAUUGAGAUUAUUUUUGUGCCAAAAUAUGUACAUGUCUCAGAAAUAACUGUUUUCCAACAUUGUGUUUUGAUCACAGAAAGUUUUGAAUGUCCAGAUCCGGAUAAUUUAAGCAGUAUUGAGUUUGUCACUCUCUACCAACGCAAAAGUUCCCUGGCCAGCCUAUAUACUUCAAAUGACAGCACUCCAGACUCUGAUAAGCCCAGCACUUCCAAGCAGGGGUCUGAAAUGAUGAGGAAGUUAUCGUCUGCUCUAUCCAAAAUGUUCUCAGGAUCUAAUGCCAAUGUUCCUAAAUCUUCCUCACCCUCACCCCCUCACCAAGACAGAAGCUGAGGCUGCGACACCUGACAUCAAUAAGCAUGCUGGCCUUCCUCAAAAAAUAAAUGGUUUUUGAAGCAUGACAUUGUGUCCUACACAGUAGUUCUC
rnacentral:lncRNA from 1 species